CCUCUAUAGGUAUCUCUCUCCUCUCUCUUGGGUGUGAAACAAAUGGUUCACGGUUCAUAAAGUCAGAACCACCACCAAACAGACUUCUUCGAAAGUGUGGAUCAAGAAAUGAGAAUGGGUUCAUUGUACUAGCCUCAGAUAGAACUGAAAGAGGAUUUCUUCUAGAUGCAACUUCAACUGGAUCAUCUAUAUCCAUGAGAUCAUCUUGAGGAGCAAC
rnacentral:misc_RNA from 1 species